rnacentral:sRNA from 1 species
UUGAUGGUCAUAGAGUAUGAAGUCCUGUUUAUUGGCAGACCAGGGGUACAGCAUGGGCAGCAGCAGUGCAAGAUUCCUCCAAGCUAUCCUGCCAUUGUAACUCAGUGCUGACUGGAAUUCCCUCAUUAGGAUCAGAGGAGAGUUCAGUCUACAUGAUGCAAUGUGGUCCUUUGCCUCU